GGGGGACUUCGGGGUAGUGGCGCACGGGUGCGUACGCGUGGGAACCUGCCUUUAGGUUCGGAAUAACUCAGAGAAAUUUGAGCUAAUACCGGAUAAUGUCUUCGGACCAAAGAUUUAUCGCCUUUAGAUGGGCCCGCGUUAGAUUAGAUAGUUGGUGGGGUAAUGGCCUACCAAGUCGACGAUCUAUAGCUGGUCUGAGGGGAUGAUCAGCCACACUGGGACUGAGACACGGCCCAGACUCCUACGGGUGGCAGCAGUGGGGAAUAUUGGACAAUGGGCGAAAGCCUGAUCCAGCAAUGCCGCGUGAGUGAUGAAGGCCUUAGGGUUGUAAAGCUCUUUUACUAGGGAUGAUAAUGACAGUACCUAGAGAAUAAGCUCCGGCUAACUCCGUGCCAGCAGCCGCGGUAAUACGGAGGGAGCUAGCGUUGUUCGGAAUUACUGGGCGUAAAGCGCGCGUAGGCGGUUUUUCAAGUCAGGGGUGAAAUCCCGGAGCUCAACUCCGGAACUGCCCUUGAAACUGGACGACUAGAAUCCUGGGGAGGCGAGUGGAAUUCCGAGUGUAGAGGUGAAAUUCGUAGAUAUUCGGAAGAACACCAGUGGCGAAGGCGACUCGCUGGACAGGUAUUGACGCUGAGGUGCGAAAGCGUGGG
rnacentral:rRNA from 1 species